rnacentral:lncRNA from 1 species
GGAAGGAACAGGCCUCCACGCUGCUCUGCGUCACUUCAGAUACCACAGCACUGAGCCCAUGGGUGCCCCUCACACAGGGCAGGGAGGGAGGAGGAAAUAGGAGGGGCCACAAUGCCACCAGGCAGCUCCACAUUGAGCCGGACUACAUCUGAUCUGGACUUGUCCUCCCAGAAAGCUCUCCACCAAAGGGCUGGGCAUGGUGAGCCUCCUACUGUUCCCCAGGCCCACCUCAUGGCCCCUCCUCCUGUUCAUUCCCUCUAGAGGCAAUUGGGCCUUUUCAGUGACCUGAACUCUGUCCACCCUGCCACUUACAGGCUGAGUGACUAUAGGUAGCCCCCUCCUAUUAGGAGGUAAUAAUAAUGACAUCACAAUCACAAGUGAUCCAGCACCAGUCUUCAGGACUUCUGCAGCCUCCUGAAUUGGCAAAUACCUUAGAAGGUAUCAUGCCUCAUGUCUGUAAUCCCAGCACUUUGGGAGGCUGAGGCAGGUGGAUCACCUGAGGUCGGGAGUUCGAGACCAGCCUGACCAACGUGGAGAAGCCCCUUCUCUACUAAAAAUACAAAAUUAGCCCGGUAUAGUGGUGCAUUCCUGUAAUCCCAGCUACUCCGGAGGUUGAGGCAGGAGAAUCGCUUGAACCCGGGAGGCAGAGGUUGUGGUGAGCCAAGAUCGCAUCAUUGCACUCCUACAGCAAAACUCCGUCUCAAAAAAAAAAAAAAAUCAAAAUGUAGAGCUGUAAAUCUUAGGCCAUCACCUCCUGAUUCUAGGGCUAUAAACCUGUUGUUUUCAAAGCUAUUUAAGGGCCCUGCUCACACAGGAAUUCAUGGCAGAAUGGAGCUGGGAGGCAGAUGGAGCGAUGGAGAUCAUAUGCUCAGGAUCCCUCUCCCCCUCUCAUGACAAAGGCUUUGCCCCUGCUUCUGGCUGGAGGGACCUGCCCUCUCCUUGCUUGGGACAGUUGUUAACCAACACAUCUUAAUGACAGAGGAGAGAAGAAUCAAGACCUGGGGAUGGAGCUGGGAGAGGCCAGCCUCGAACAAAGAAUAUCUUGAAAGCCUCUUUUUAUCAUUAAAGUGUGUAUGAAUGUUAC